UGUUUUGUGGCUUAUUUGGUUAAAGCGCCGGUCUAGUGAAUACGGAGUCGUGGGUUCAUCCCACCAGAACGC
rnacentral:tRNA from 1 species